GGUGACUCCCUUGGGAAGCGUGCACAGAAGUUAGGGAUCAGAUGCCUUGACGGAGCCAAGUGGAGGUGGAGACCAUGGAGUCUUUUCAUGAGACACCAGGAACCUUGAGAUGAGCUCCAACGAACAUUGAAACUCCAGCAAACAUUCCCAGCGAACGCCUUCCUCAUUAUGUAUUUAGAGUGCCAGGACUUUCAUUACAACAUGGCCGGAGGCAAGGCACAAGAUGAUUCCGCGUGGAGAUGAAGAAGGCUACGGCAGGAGUGGUGGACAUCGCCGAGAGCCGCUUCACUGACGCUUUUUAAAAGUCACAGUUGCCCACAUCGGUGA